rnacentral:rRNA from 1 species
CAGUAGCCGCGGGAAUACGAGGGGGGCAAGCGUUGUUCGGAAUUAUUGGGCGUAAAGGGUGCGUAGGCGGCUUGACAAGUCUUGUGUGAAAUCUAUGGGCUCAACCCAUAGUCUGCACGGGAAACUGUCGGGCUUGAGUAUUGGAGAGGUGAGUGGAAUUUCCGGUGUAGCGGUGAAAUGCGUAGAUAUCGGAAGGAACACCUGUGGCGAAAGCGGCUCACCGGACAAUUACUGACGCUGAUGCACGAAAGCUAGGGGAGCAAACAGGAUUAGAUACCCGUGUAGUCCCUGUCUCUUAUAC